rnacentral:rRNA from 1 species
UACAGAGGGGGCAAGCGUUAUUCGGAAUUAUUGGGCGUAAAGGGCGCGUAGGCGGUUUUUUAAGUGAGAUGUGCAAUCCCCGGGCUUAACCUGGGAACUGCAUCUCAGACUGGAAGGCUAGAGUGCUGGAGAGGGUGGUGGAAUUCCACGUGUAGCGGUGAAAUGCGUAGAGAUGUGGAGGAACACCAGUGGCGAAGGCGGCCACCUGGACAGUAACUGACGCUGAGGCGCGAAAGUGUGGGUAG